rfam:Alligator sinensis unplaced genomic scaffold scaffold73_1, whole genome shotgun sequence
GCCUGAAUAGUUCAGUUGGUAGGACAUCCGACUUUUUAUCUGAGGCUCCAGGGUUCAAAUUCCUUUCAGGAA